GGCCGGCGGGGACACAGGUGCUGCAUGGCUGUCGUCAGCUCGUGUCGUGAGAUGUUGGGUUAAGUCCCGCAACGAGCGCAACCCUCAUCUUCAGUUGCCAUCGGGUUACGCCGGGCACUCUGGAGAAACUGCCGGUGACAAGCCGGAGGAAGGCGGGGAUGACGUCAAGUCCUCAUGGCCCUUAUGGGCUGGGCUACACACGUGCUACAAUGGCGGUGACAGAGGGCGGCAAGG
rnacentral:rRNA from 1 species